rnacentral:rRNA from 1 species
UACGGGGGGAGCAAGCGUUGUUCGGAUUUACUGGGCGUAAAGCGCGUGUAGGCGGCUUGGUAAGUCCGGUGUGAAACCUUGGGGCUCAACCCCAAGCCUGCACUGGAUACUGCCUCGCUUGAGUCCGGGAGGGGAGAGCGGAAUUCCUAGUGUAGCGGUGAAAUGCGCAGAUAUUAGGAAGAACACCGGUGGCGAAGGCGGCUCUCUGGAACGGUACUAACGCUGAGACGCGAAAGCGUGGGGAGCGAACAGG